rnacentral:rRNA from 1 species
UACGAAGGGGGCUAGCGUUACUCGGAUUGACUGGGCGUAAAGGGCGCGUAGGCGGUUUGUACAGUCAGACGUGAAAUUCCUGGGCUCAACCUGGGGGCUGCGUUUGAUACGUGCGGACUUGAGUUCGGAAGAGGGUCGUGGAAUUCCCGGUGUAGAGGUGAAAUUCGUAGAUAUCGGGAGGAACACCAGUGGCGAAGGCGGCGAUCUGGGAAGAUACUGACGCUGAGGUGCGAAAGCGUGGGGAGCAAACAGG